rnacentral:lncRNA from 1 species
GAUAAAGCUUGUUGGAUUCUGGGUGAGCCCAUUUGUUUUGAGAGUGAGUUGGGCUCUGAAACUGAAGGGUGUUGAGUAUGAGUACAUUGAAGAAGACGUCUUCAACAAGAGUCCUCUGCUUCUGGAGCUGAAUCCAGUCCACAAGAAAGUGCCUGUGCUGGUUCAUGGCCAUAAUGUGAUAGUUGAGUCCUUUGUGAUACUAGAGUACAUUGAUGAGACUUGGAAACAAUACCCUUUGUUGCCUCAAGAGCCUUAUGACAGAGCCAAUACAAGGUUUUGGGCCAAGUUCGCUGAGGAGAAGGUGAUUAUUUCCUUGGUUUAAUUUUGUUAACAUGGAUCUGCUUUUUCAGUUUUCUCUUUUUUGCUCCAUUAUGUAGGUAGAUUUACUCAUUGAAAUUGGUUAUUCAUUUACGGAGAUUAAUUACUUAUAGUUUCUAAAGCAAGAAAAGUAUUAUAAUUCAAAAUGAAUUGUCCAAGUUCGGUUACGUAAGAUUCACAUUCUUAAACGAAUCUGAAUUAUUUAUUUUCAAUUAUGGAAAUUUUUAUUGGGCUAAAUUCUAAGGUAGCAGGGCUAAAGAAAACACUGCAAAGCAAUUGGAAGGAUAAAAUACAUUAUCAUCACCUAAAGUAGAUCUUUUACACUGCAAAAAAAUUACUUUGGGUACUAUAUAUAUAAUCGUCGAUUUUAUCGUCAACACAGUUGAAAUAUGAUCAUUUAGAUCCAAAGAGGGAACUUUUGGGAUUAGAUCGGCAAUUAAAAUCUAAGGACUAAAGUGGCAAGGAACCCGUAUUUUACAGAACAUAUGUGUAAUUUCUCCGUGUUUGAAUUCAUGGUAGUUAUGCAAACGCGGAGUCAGAAAAUAAUUUCAGUGGAUCAAACUUGUGAAAAUAAUUUUUUGUGAGUCAAAAUUAUAUUUAUAAAUAAAUUACAUAAAGACUAACAGUGUAAUUUUUUUCAGUGGAGUCAAUUGACACCACUUGUUCAUAUGUAUCUCCGCUCUUGCCACUGUGGGAAUGGUAGUCUUGUGGCAUUGGACAUAUUCCCAACUAGUUUGGUGUGUGAAAGAUCCUGGGUCCAAUACUUAUUCCCAAUUGAUUUGGUGUGUAAAAGAUCUUGUGGUUGAAUCUUGUAAUGAGAAGCGCUCGAGCUCGAGCUGUAUAUGAAUCAAAGAUUUGGUAAGAAAAAAGAAAACAAUAACGAAAAAGUUAGACAAUCCAACCAGCACCAUUGAAUCAUCUACUUUUUUUCAUUUACCCAUAAUUAGUAAAGUAGAAAAUUAUGGACAAAAUAAGAAGCCGACUAGCCAUGUAACCAUGAUGAUCAGGAUUGUACAAGAAACUGACUUUCCUACACUUUUCAUUAUUUUCAUGCUAAACAAAUUGAAAAACAUAUAGAUAUCUUUUCUCUCUUUUUCAUACAUUUUUCGUUGCUGUCAUCCUAAUCAAACUCAACCUAUAGUGUUUUGUAACCUAGAAAGUUUAUUUUCGGAUCUGUCUGUUUCUUACUAUCAUUUUAUUUGUUUGUGCAUGCAUGUUUGGGAUUAGCUUAUGAGGAUUCAUGCGGCUAUGUGCUCCAAGGAGAGAAAGUAACUUUGUCUCCAGUCGGCCUAGAGGACUUGGAGAAGAUAGAAGGAGAGCUCAAGGGAAGGCAAGUUUUUUGGAGGGGCAAUCUUGGGUAUUUGGAUCUUGUAACUUGGAUUUUGGACACUUCUUUGGUGCUGUUUGGGAAGAAAUUGGGUCCAUGACCAUUCUAGACCCAGUCAAAUUCCCAUGUAUCACUGCUUGGAUGCAAAAUUUUCUCAAUCACCCAGUUAUCAAGGAAGAUUUGCCACCCAGAGAGAAGGUGGAUGCUUAUUUCCAGAACCAAAGAAAAGAAUAUGCUGCCCGCAUGGGCUCUACCAACACCGGUUGAUUUAGAAAUUUUAAAUUGGGUGGUUGUUUUUCACUUCGAGUUCUGAUCACACGGGCGCACGCCCGUGGUAAUACCACGGGAGUGCCCCCGUAACUGCUUCUCAACCACCCAUUUUGGAGUUGAUUAGAGUUAAAAAAUAAAUAAAACAUAAUUUGUCUAAUCAACCCCAAAAUGGAUGGUUGAGAAGCAGCGGAUGCUCUCGUGGUAUUACCUCGGGCGCGUCCAUGUGAUCAGUACUUUUUUCACUUAAAAGAAAACAAAACAAAUGUCAGUUGUUUUCUGUAAAAGAGGUUGUUCUACUCAAGGUUAUCAAGGCUAUGAAAUAGUGUUGUCACGUGUUAUCACAAAAUCUUAUUUAAUAUUGUGUAUGAUGAGAGAUAAUUACGAUGUAAAGUGAAAGUGAUAGAAAUUGAAGAAAAAGAAAAGAAAAAAAAAAUAAUUUUUUGCGAGGAAGUUAUAACAAGAUUUUUAUGCGUCGUUACUCAUGAGUUGGUAAUAAGAAAAAUACAAAAAUGGGAAAUCAAGGGCAAAAAAUUAAUGACAUUUGUUGAAAAAUCUGGAGGCAAAUUAAUUUGAGUUUUUUAUUUUCACGAGUGUGUAUGCUUUAUAUUCACUUCAUAUGAUAUUAGGUUGUUAGCAACUUAGCAUACUGUAUCAUCAUGACUGCUUGGGAUUCAAAACCCACAACUCUAUCAGCAACAUCGCUCAUUCCCC